rnacentral:lncRNA from 1 species
CAGAUUGUGGGCACCAUCUGGGCAUGCAGAGAACUGCUAGAGUGGCCAAGACUGGGUCCAUGGAAGAAAAGGGUAUAUACCAACUAUCUCAGGCAGAAGUCCGCAGAAGGCCGCAGAACUCCGCAGAAGGCCGCAGAACUCCGCAGAAGGCCGCAGAACUCCGCAGAAGUCCGCACACAGUAAGGAAGUUGCCUCCGCGUCCAGCCCGCUGAUUGAGCAGGCCGAGAGCCAAUGCGCAAAGAAGGUCCGUUUCCGUUUGUUUUCCUCAUACUUUUCCUUCUUUCUGACCAGUAAGCCACAGAGUUAUGGAAAAGGCUGGGGAAGAAUCUGUGGCCGAGUCCUUCUUCCCACAGGUCCACUAAUUAUGGAGAACCAAAGUUUUUUCUUAAAACUGACGGGACAAUCGAUGAACCUGACCACUGCAGACAUGGACUUCCCUAAACUUCAAUCUGUGGAGAGAGGCCUCAGAGUCUUCACUCGCUAUUUCAUUUUCAGGCUCCUUCCAGCAAAAUAAAAGUAAAAACAACAGCUAUUUGAUGGCUCAUUGCCUUUGUUUCCCUGGUAGAUCCUCAGGGACGUUCCAAGGACAUUCUACUUUGAGUGUCAUAGAAAAAGCACCAGAAUCACAGUCUGAUAUCUUAAGAGUGACAAGAGACCAGCAUUCAAGACUUAGCUUCUGAUAAUGCACUAUUCACAACAGCAAAGUGAUGAAACCAACCUAAGUGUCCAUCACUGAUUGACUGGAUAAAGAAGAUGUGGUAUAUAUGCACCAUGGAAUACUAUGCAACCAUCCUGCAUUUCUAAUGGCUAGAAAUUCCUGCCAUUAAUUUCAUUCCUUUAGAUUACACAACUUCAAUAAAGGUAUGGGCGUUGUCCUCUAUAAAGCCAUUUGUCAUGAUUUUCAAGACCUUGCAUGAUCUGGCACUUGUCUCCUCCCAGCCUCAGCCUCC